GCAGCCUCCAUUGGAUGCUCCUUGUGAUAUGUGUUCCAAGCCACACAAUUUAUCAAUUUGAUUCUUGUCGUCGAGAUCCAUUACGAUCCGUGUUGGUCAAGUCACUAUUGAAUAAAGUGUUGAUGAAAAUGAAUGUCAAAAAAAGCGCACUUCCUCAAUGGAAAUCAGUUAAGUGCGCCCAACAAGAGGGUGGGGUCGAGUAUGGCUAUUACGUGAUGAAAUUCAUGCAUGACAUAUUCAAAAGUUGCAAGGAAGUUCAAGAUCUGGAAAAGGU